AGUCGAGGGGUAACAUAGAGUGCUUGCACUCUGAUGACGACCGGCGCACGGGUGAGUAACGCGUAUACAAUCUGCCUCAUACUAGGGGAUAGCCCAGAGAAAUUUGGAUUAAUACCCUAUAGUAUCUUUUAGAGUCAUCUCUUUAAGAUUAAAGGCUACGGUAUGAGAUGAGUAUGCGUUCUAUUAGUUAGUAGGUGAGGUAACGGCUCACCUAGACCACGAUAGAUAGGGGCCCUGAGAGGGGGAUCCCCCACACUGGUACUGAGACACGGACCAGACUCCUACGGGAGGCAGCAGUGAGGAAUAUUAGACAAUGGGCGAAAGCCUGAUCUAGCCAUGCCGCGUGCAGGAUGACGGCCCUAUGGGUUGUAAACUGCUUUUAUACAGGAAGAAAAAACUCUACGUGUAGAGUCUUGACGGUACUGUAAGAAUAAGGAUCGGCUAACUCCGUGCCAGCAGCCGCGGUAAUACGGAGGAUCCAAGCGUUAUCCGGAAUUAUUGGGUUUAAAGGGUCCGUAGGUGGACAAUUAAGUCAGAGGUGAAAUCCUGCAGCUCAACUGUAGAAUUGCCUUUGAAACUGGUUGUCUUGAGUCAUUAUGAAGUGGUUAGAAUGUGUAGUGUAGCGGUGAAAUGCAUAGAUAUUACACAGAAUACCAAUUGCGAAGGCAGAUCACUAAUAAUGUACUGACACUGAUGGACGAAAGCGUGGGUAGCGAACAGGAUUAGAUACCCUGGUAGUCCACGCCGUAAACGAUGGUCACUAGCUGUUCGGACUUCGGUCUGAGUGGCUAAGCGAAAGUGAUAAGUGACCCACCUGGGGAGUACGUUCGC
rnacentral:rRNA from 1 species